AUACCUUUCUCGGCCUUUUGGCUAAGAUCAAGUGUAGUAUCUGUUCUUAUCAGUUUAAUAUCUGAUAUGUGGGCCAUGUGUCCACUAUGAUAUUAAAUUUAUUUUUUGUGGGAGAGAGUCUACAACAGUGGCUUGCCACUGGGGCCCUCGAGCGUCGCCCAGGCGUUGCACUACUGCCCGGGCCUGGCGCACCCCAA
rfam:Leersia perrieri chromosome 7, whole genome shotgun sequence.